GGAAGACUUAAGAUGGCGGCGUUUGCACGGAGUGCAAUCACUGCGUCCUUACGGGGGUUGCAAGGCGUCCGAAGUAUGAGUCCACUAACAAAAGUCCAGAAACUCGCCAGUUAAUAGUAUUGUGUCUCUUCAAAAUAUCGGAGAAUAAUUUCUUUCUCGCUGAUCGCCUAACUUCUACUGACGAAGCUUGGAAGUUGCAGAAGCCAGACAUGAUGUAUUGAGUAAAAGGAACUUCGGUACACAGGCCUUUAGUGAUGUGGUGGUAAGAUGUAUGAUGGAGUUCGCUCUUGUUGCCCAGGCUGGAAUGCAAUGGCAUGACCUUGGCUCACUGCAACCUCUGCCUCCCCAGUUCAAGUGGUUCUCCUGCCUCAGCCUCCCGAGUAGCUGAGAUUACAGGUACUGGCUCCUGUAUCACCCAGCUCUGGAGUUGAAAGAGCUCUUCAUUCCUGAGUCUCCUGUACCACUGAGAAUAGAAAUACAAAAAAAAUUCUAAAACUUGUAUGGAACUACAAAAGACAUUAAAUAAUCAAAGUAAUCUUGAGCAACAAGGACACAGCUGGAGGCAUCACUCUACCUGAUUUUGUAAUCCAUUAUCAAAAAACUGUGGUACCAGCAUAAAAACAGAUUCACUGACCAGUGGAACAGGAAAGCCCAGACAUAACUCAUACAUUUCCAUCCAAUUGAUUUUUGACAAAAGUGGCACACAGAAUGGGGAGAGGACAAAUAAAUAAAUAAAUUGUUUUGAGAUAUCUG
rnacentral:lncRNA from 1 species